GCCAUCGUGGCGCAAUCGGUAGCGCGUGAGACUGUAAGGCCAAUCACAUCUGAAGAUCAGACCUUAUCAUCAAUACUAAUUCCUAUUCCAGUCUAUUAUCAAAUAGUCAUCUCAAGGUUGCGGGUUCGAGCCCCGCCGGAGGCU